rnacentral:tRNA from 1 species
GCCUGGCUGGUGCAGUCGGUAGAGCACGCAACUCUUGAUCUCAGGGUCGUGAGUUCAAGCCCCACGUUAGGCA